UACGGGGGGGGCAAGCGUUGUUCGGAAUUACUGGGCGUAAAGGGCUCGUAGGCGGCCAACUAAGUCAGACGUGAAAUCCCUCGGCUUAACCGGGGAACUGCGUCUGAUACUGGAUGGCUUGAAUCCGGGAGAGGGAUGCAGAAUUCCAGGUGUAGCGGUGAAAUGCGUAGAUAUCUGGAGGAACACCGGUGGCGAAGGCGGCAUCCUGGACCGGCAUUGACGCUGAGGAGCGAAAGCCAGGGGAGCAAACGGG
rnacentral:rRNA from 1 species